UUUAGGACAGUGGAUUUUCAUUCCACUAACACCGGUUCAAAUCCGGUUGGGGCCG
rnacentral:tRNA from 1 species